UACAGAGGUGGCAAGCGUUGUUCGGAAUUACUGGGCGUAAAGGGCUCGUAGGCGGCCAACUAAGUCCGACGUGAAAUCCCAAAGCUUAACUUUGGAACUGCGUCGGAUACUGGAUGGCUUGAAUUCGGGAGAGGGAUGCAGAAUUCCAGGUGUAGCGGUGAAAUGCGUAGAUAUCGGAAGGAACAUCAGUGGCGAAAGCGGCUUCCUGGACCAGUACCGACGUUCAGGCACGAAAGCGUGGGGAGCAAACAGG
rnacentral:rRNA from 1 species